rnacentral:rRNA from 1 species
AUACGGAGGGUGCAAGCGUUAAUCGGGAUUACUGGGCGUAAAGCGUACGUAGGCGGUUAUUUAAGUCAGAUGUGCAAGCCCCGGGCUUAACUUGGGAACUGCAUUUGAAACUGGGUAACUAGAGUUUAGUAGGGGGGAGUGGAAUUUCAGGUGUAGCGGUGAAAUGCGUAGAGAUCUGAAGGAACACCAGUGGCGAAGGCGACUCCCUGGACUAAAACUGACGCUGAGGUACGAAAGCGUGGGUAGCAAACAGGAUUAGAAACCCCAGUAGUCC